rnacentral:tRNA from 1 species
GCAAGUAUAGUUUUAACCAAAACAUUAGACCGUGACUCUAAAAUAGAAGUUAGACCCUUCUUACCUGCC